rnacentral:rRNA from 1 species
UACGUAGGGUGCAAGCGUUGUCCGGAAUUAUUGGGCGUAAAGAGCUCGUAGGCGGUCUGUCGCGUCUGCUGUGAAAACUCAGGGCUUAACCCUGAGCUUGCAGUGGGUACGGGCAGACUAGAGUGCGGUAGGGGAGACUGGAAUUCCUGGUGUGGCGGCGAAAUGCGCAGAUAUCAGGAGGAACACCGGUGGCGAAGGCGGGUCUCUGGGCCGUAACUGACGCUGAGGAGCGAAAGCAUGGGGAGCGAACAGG